UGCUCCAUCACACCGCAUGGUGUGUUGGGAAAGCCUUUGCGGCAUGGUAUGGGGUCGCGUCCUAUCACCUUGAUGGCGGGGUAACGGCCCACCAUGGCUGAAACGGGUAGCCGGCCUGAGAGGGCGACCGGCCACAUUGGGACUGAGAUACGGCCCAGACUCCUACGGGAGGCAGCAGUGGGGAAUAUUGCACAAUGGGCGCAAGCCUGAUGCAGCGACGCCGCGUGAGGGAUGGAGGCCUUCGGGUUGUAAGCCUCUUUUGUUAGGGAGCAAGGCAUUUUUGUGUUGAGUGUACCUUUCGAAUAAGCACCGGCUAACUACGUGCCAGCAGCCGCGGUAAUACGUAGGGUGCAAGCGUUAUCCGGAAUUAUUGGGCGUAAAGGGCUCGUAGGCGGUUCGUCGCGUCCGGUGUGAAAGUCCAUCGCUUAACGGUGGAUCCGCGCCGGGUACGGGCGGGCUGGAGUGCGGUAGGGGAGACUGGAAUUCCCGGUGUAACGGUGGAAUGUGUAGAUAUCGGGAAGAACACCAAUGGCGAAGGCAGGUCUCUGGGCCAUCACUGACGCUGAGGAGCGAAAGCGUGGGGAGCGAACAGGAUUAGAUACCCUGGUAGUCCACGCCGUAAACGGUGGAUGCUGGAUGUGGGGCCCUUUCCACGGGUCCCGUGUCGGAGCCAACGCGUUAAGUACCCCGCCUGGGGAGUACGGCCGCAAAGCUAAAACUCAAAGGAAUUGACGGGGCCCCGCACAAGCGGCGGAGCAUGCGGAUUAAUUCGAUGCAACGCGUAGAACCUUACCUGGGUUUGACAUGGAUCGGGAGCGCUCAGAGAUGGGUGUGCCUCUUUUGGGGUCGGUUCACAGGUGGUGCAUGGCUGUCGUCAGCUCGUGUCGUGAGAUGUUGGGUUAAGUCCCGCAACGAGCGCAACCCUUGUUCACUGUUGCCAGCACGUUAUGGUGGGGACUCAGUGGAGACCGCCGGGGUCAAUGAUUAGGAAUGUGGGGAAGAGGUCAAGUCAUCAUUCACACUUUCUCCUGGAACUCAAUCCUGGUACAAUGGUUCGUACAGAGAGUGGCGAGCCUGUGAGGGUGAGCGAAUCUCGGAAAGCCGGUCUCAGUUCGGAUUGGGGUCUGCAACUCGACCUCAUGAAGUCGGAGUCGCUAGUAAUCGCAGAUCAGCAACGC
rnacentral:rRNA from 1 species